UAAAAAGCAGACCCUUCCUGACCCUCGUCCCUUCUACUCUUUUCCCCCUCUGUCUGUCACCCCCUUUUGUUCCCUUCCCCCACAGCAAACCUCUGUCACGUGGAACUGCACUGGCCUGGUGUGGCCUGUCCGGAUGCGAGCCGCGAUUCUGUCACAACACUUAAUCCCACAGGAGUGUCAACAAAACUUUCCUGGUGAAUUCCCAUUUGGUUCCCAACACCUACUUUAGUAUUUUAUUUGAUAGACAUGCCUAAUUUAAAAUGCACUUGAGCAGGUAAGAUGGCUUAGAUAGGAUUUAUGUAGCCCAAGAUGGCUUCGAACUCACUACAUAAUCGCCAAUGACCUCGAAUGUCUGGUGUUCCUGCCUCCACACCCCAAAGGCUGAGAUUACAGGCAUAACCACGCAAAGUUUAUGUGGUGCUAGGAGUCAAACUCAGGGCUUCAUAAACGCGGGACAAGCGCUAUACCAAGUAAGUUACAUCUCCAGUCCUUCUGUUCCUUUUACCAGCCCUUUGCUAACAACCUCUCUGGCUGACCUAGCACCCUCUUUUUUUUUUUCCCCCGGAGCUGGGGCAAGCGCUCUACCACUGAGCUAAAUCCCCAACCCCUGACCUAGCACCCUCUUAACUUUUGGUCUAUAGAGACAAACUUAAACUGCCUACCUUCCCUGGCUUAGCCUGCAGCUAAAAUGUGCUGACAACACGUAAAUCCUAAGAAUGCCUUCACCUUCCUGUAGCCUCCUACCUCAUGACCCCAGCGAUGUAUUUCGCAAGUACAUUAAUGCCUGACUCCAGAAGCUUAAUUCCGUCUAUGGUAAAAGGCCUUCCAGGGUAACUUGAAUCCAUGUUCACCCAUACUUGGCUCAGAAGAAACAAUCUUCAUAUUUCCUGCCCAUACGACCUUGACACUUGCUACAGUGAGAGAGCAAAGAGAUCAUAAAAGAAUGCCCUUGUUACGGGAGAAGAAAACAAAGACUGUUUACAGGGUCAGGCAAAUAUUCAAGCCAGUUCCAAAUCAACCAGAACUACAUUGUGAGAUCCAGUCGCCUCAAAACAGAGUAAUAAACUAGAAGUGUCACCUGACUUAAGAAACUCUUUAAAGACACGGUAAAAGGCUUCGGAAAUACUACCGAGAAAAGGCAGCUGGAGAGACGGCUCGGCAGUUAAGGGCAUGUACUGUUCUCCAGAGGAGCCAAGUUCAGUCCCUAGCAUGCAUGUUGGGCAACAGCCUGGAACUCUAGCAGUGGGGGACCUAACACCAUCUUCUGGCCUCCAGCGACAAUCAUAUGUUCAAACUCCUUUUCCUGCCCUGCUCACAUAAUUUUGAAAUAAAUCAUUAAAAAGGGAGAAAGAAGUUCAUUACAAAAUGCUAUAAAAA